UACGUAGGGUGCAAGCGUUGUCCGGAAUUAUUGGGCGUAAAGAGCUCGUAGGCGGUUUGUCGCGUCUGCUGUGAAAUCCCGAGGCUCAACCUCGGGCUUGCAGCGGGUACGGGCAGACUAGAGUGCGGUAGGGGAGAUUGGAAUUCCUGGUGUAGCGGUGGAAUGCGCAGAUAUCAGGAGGAACACCGAUGGCGAAGGCAGAUCUCUGGGCCGUAACUGACGCUGAGGAGCGAAAGCGUGGGGAGCGAACAGG
rnacentral:rRNA from 1 species